UAUUAGGUGGGAAACAAUUAGAUGUGUGAAAGGAAAUUUCCUUUCUGAACUCAACAAUUGGGGCAUUUUGAUAUCCCUGACUAGCUGAUA